GGACGAUUAGCUCAGCUGGUUAGAGCACCUCAUUCACAUUGAGGAGGUCACUGGUUCAAUCCCGGUAUCGUCCA
rfam:Candidate division WS6 bacterium 34_10 MPI_scaffold_4272, whole genome shotgun sequence.